CGCGUAGGUGGUUUGGUCAGUCAGAUGUGAAAGCCCUGGGCUUAACCUGGGAAUUGCAUUUGAUACUGCCAGACUAGAGUAUGGUAGAGGGAAGUGGAAUUCCGGGUGUAGCGGUGAAAUGCGUAGAUAUCCGGAGGAACAUCAGUGGCGAAGGCGGCUCCCUGGACCAAUACUGACACUGAGGUGCGAAAGCGUGGGUAGCAAACA
rnacentral:rRNA from 1 species